GUUUUUCGUUCCAAGAUGAGUCCGCGUAAGAUUAGCUAGUUGGUGAGGUAAUGGCUCACCAAGGCAACGAUCUUUAACUGGUCUGAGAGGAUGAUCAGUCACACUGGAACUGAGACACGGUCCAGACUCCUACGGGAGGCAGCAGUAGGGAAUAUUGCACAAUGGAGGAAACUCUGAUGCAGCGACGCCGCGUGAGUGAUGAAGGCCUUCGGGUCGUAAAGCUCUGUCGUAUGGGACUAACAAAAUG
rnacentral:rRNA from 1 species